GCUGCACCAGGGUUAGCAGAAUUGUACCUCUUGUGCUGAGUGCUGGAGGUUUUGUUCCAUCCGUUUUUACCAUGGCUUUAUAACUAGUGCUGCAACAAUCUCCUUAGGUAUGUAAUAUUUAGCUUCCGUGCAGUUACUUUGCCAGGCUUGAUUCCAUGUCUGGAACUAACCAGCCAAGACUAAGAACAGCUUUUCUUUUUUAAUUAAAAAUUUCUUAUAGUUUUGGAAAAUAGAAAUAAAGAUGAGCCAUGGGUCCCAGGAAGUGUGUCAGCCAGGAUCUCACUGGGCUGCAAACAGCAGGAACCUUAGGAACCAGGGAGUUUAAGGGAGAGACUGGGCUGGUCUCAGAGUGAUCAUGGCCAUGCCACUGGAGAGCCUGGCCACAGGGCGCUUCCUGUCCCGCGCCCUUCAUCCUUCAGCGUGGUUGUUCCUCUGCUAAUCUUGCUCCCUUGACAGCUCUUGGCUGCCUUUAAUGAGCCUCUCCCGCUCCAGCUGAGUCAUUUCUGUUCAUCUUUGAUACUCAGAGCUGUACUGCAUGUGGGCCAUUGUGGGAUGCUUCCUUUUGCUGUGUUCCUUCACUCUUCAGCUGCCUGUUUGAUGGCAUUUCAUCUGGCCAGAGCAGAGACUUGCCUGGGUCCUGAUGGAGCAGUGGAAGAGCCCGCCUUGGGCCCAGGACGGAGCUCAUUCUUUUUUUUUUAACAGGACUGCCUUUCUUUUCUCAUUUCAAGGUAGAAAACGCCUUUUGCUCCCCAUGUGGUGGAGUCAGGAAGAGAACAGAGACUUCCAGGCUCAGUCGUAGUCUCCCUCCCCUGCCCCUCAGGCUGGAGAGUUCUGUCCUCUAGAAGCAAGCCCAUAAGGCCGGGUUCCAUCCAGGGCAAAAGCAGUCGGUUUCAUCUUGAGUGGGGUGAUCCUGCCCUGGACCUGGCUUUGUCACACACCUACUAUCCCACAGCAUAAGAGCUUGAUCAUCCAUCACACUGACAGGGAAACUGAGGCUUGUGUUUUGGGAAAUCAACCUGAGAAUGGGCCCCCAACUCAGAAGAGUUAUUGGUUAUUUUUCCAGAGUGGCCUUGUCCUUCCAGAGAGCAGUGGGCAUUUAUUUGACAAGAAGUUAUAAAGCUGUGUUCCAGAUUCUCUGAAGAAAGCGAGAAUCUCACACGGUGGCACCAGAGGUUGUAUUUCAGGGAGUCAUCCCUGACCCCCCAAGGCCACCCCGAAUAACUCUGCUGCUGCUACGUUUCUCCUGCUCUGAAGUUCCUCCAUCAUAGCACUCAGUUGCCAACUGGACCAAUUCCCAGUGACUGCGAGGAAAGCACCCGAGUGUACUUUUUGCUGUUGGGCCCUGGUGUGAUCACAGCAGGUGGCACAUGGCUGGAACAUUGUGAACACUGCAGAAAGGAGCUGUCCUGAGCAGCCAGUGCAGGUUAGCAGCAGCAGUCCGGGCCAGGGCUUGAGUCCACGGGGAAGAGAAUGUCCUCUGUGGUUCCAGGCCUCACUCUCUUGUGUAGACAGAUCCUGUCACUUAGCAUCCAUCCUGAACCAUGGAGAACAAGUCUGGGUCAAAGUGCAAGUUAAGGGCGUCUGGACCAAUGCUGCUGUAAGAGAGCUGACGAAUGCUGGGCUGGGCGAGGCUUCCAUGUAUGCAGGAACCCUGUGGCAAGCUCCUGCACCUCUGUCUCUUUAGGCCUGUGGUGCUAGGAUGAGUUUCUCCACCGGGAAGGCAGCUGAUAGCUCUCUCUGAGUUUGCCAUUCUGAUCCUGAUGCAUCUUUGACGGGUGGAGGUUCCCUUCAGAAGAUCCAGAAUUCUUCCCUUCAUCCCCUGCCGUGCCUGGUUCCCUCACAGCCAGAGAUGCGUCAUUGUUCCCUAUGGAAAACUCCCCAACUUCACUUUCCUUUUAGGAAACGCCUGUCACGUACUCUGAAGUGUUAAGGCCACUGGUGCAUGUGACCAAAGUAUUGAGGACUCAGAGCGCAGAGGUCGAGACAGGACGUCCGUAAGCUGUGUUGCUUGUCCUGGGUUCUCCCACCCCUGAGUGGUGAGGGGGGGCACAACGAUAAGAGUGACUCAGCUUAGUGUGCAGAUCAGAGUGUGGGUCAAGAGUUAGGUGGCCUGGGUACCAGUACUGGCUCUGCCAUUGAUGGAGCGCAGGUAGGCAGCUUAGGCUCUCUGGACCUCAGUUUCCUCCUCCCUGAACUGGCCACGCAGAGGUUUCAGUGGCAGUGUCACCUGCAGCAGUUGCCACCCUCAGUACAUCCCUGUGCUGCUCGUAGGGGCUCCUUGGGGCUCACUGGCCGAGGCCAUCCUGCCCUGGUACUUUUCCAUAAGAGGCGUCUUCCCCACAGCUGCCCCUGUGAGGAGCCAUUGCACUCCUUCUCUGUCAGGUAGAGAUGUUUUAAACAUUUGAGACGUUUCUUUCCAAAGUACUGUACCUUCACUUUUAUUCUGCGAAUAGAACUUUAAUUCAGCUGCACAUUCAUAUUUAAAAUCUCAUAGGAAUUAAUUUCAUGAAACCGGGUUGUUUUCCUUCCUACCUCUCACAAAGCGGUAUCGCUGAGCUUCCUCUGGUGUCAUCAUUAUCCCCCGGGCCACUCUGACUCAUCUAAUGCAGUUUUCUCCAGCAAGCGUGUCAGCCUCGCUUCCCGUCAGCCUUCUCAGAUCCUGCCCUUGGUGAAUCACAGUAGGCUGCCGCCACCGGGAACUUUCCCACCUCGCCUCAGGCACUCACUUGUGAAACUUUGAGGCGACUUGCCCCCUGAGUUUUGGUCAGGGCUGUGGAGCAGGACCUGCCACCCCCUCAAUGACCCUUUGCUGCAUAGAGGGUCCACUAGACCCUUCUCCAGGGUAUACUUGUCUUGUCACUGGCUCCUCCACUCCUGGGGGUGAGAAGUAGCACAGCGGAGGCCACAUGCCACGGAUGGAGAGCCUCCUGUGCUUCCGCCCACAGACUUCUCCAAGAUAUGCAGACUGAAGUGAAAGACAGGAAAAGGAGCAGUGUCUCAGGUCUUAGAGGCAUCAGAAGGCUUUAGAAACCCACUUGUCCCUCUUACUCAGCUCUUCGAAGGCCCCAGUGGCUCGAAAGAGGCCUAAGCAACCCUUCACACACUCAGCUUGUGAGUAUCAGACAGGACUCGCCAUGUGCAACGGCGUACGGUAGGCUGGCUGGCACAUGCUGCAGGUGAUUG